UACGUAGGGCACAAGCGUUAUCCGGAAUUAUUGGGCGUAAAGAGCUCGUAGGCGGUUUGUCACGUCUGCUGUGAAAACUGGAGGCUCAACCUCCAGCCUGCAGUGGGUACGGGCAAACUAGAGUGCGGUAGGGGAGAUUGGAAUUCCUGGUGUAGCGGUGGAAUGCGCAGAUAUCAGGAGGAACACCGAUGGCGAAGGCAGAUCUCUGGGCCGUAACUGACGCUGAGGAGCGAAAGCAUGGGGAGCGAACAGG
rnacentral:rRNA from 1 species